GUGGGGAAUUUUGGACAAUGGGCGCAAGCCUGAUCCAGCAAUGCCGCGUGCAGGAAGAAGGCCUUCGGGUUGUAAACUGCUUUUGUACGGAACGAAACGGUCCUGGUUAAUACCUGGGGCUAAUGACGGUACCGUAAGAAUAAGCACCGGCUAACUACGUGCCAGCAGCCGCGGUAAUACGUAGGGUGCGAGCGUUAAUCGGAAUUACUGGGCGUAAAGCGUGCGCAGGCGGUGCUGUAAGACAGGCGUGAAAUCCCCGGGCUCAACCUGGGAAUUGCGCUUGUGACUGCAGUGCUGGAGUACGGCAGAGGGGGAUGGAAUUCCGCGUGUAGCAGUGAAAUGCGUAGAUAUAGGAAGGAACACCAGUGGCGAAGGCGACCACCUGGACUGAUACUGACACUGAGGUGCGAAAGCGUGGGGAUCGAACAGGAUUAGAUACCCUUGUAGUCC
rnacentral:rRNA from 1 species